CCUUAUCGGCUCAAGUAAUAUGUGUUUUUACGAGUCAUUCCAAAAGAUUUACUCCUUUAUUUUCAGUUUCAAAAAUUGUUUUUGCAUAGCCUCUCUCGUUUUUAUGCAACCUCUUCACCAUAGUUCGGUUUUUUUUUCCCCACUUAAAUCUGAUGCAAUGCCUCAUUAUGAUUCCUAUUUUGAUCUUCUCUUUCAUUCUGCAAAGCUUCCUUUAAAGAUUGACAAAUUAUUUCAGAGUGAAGAAGAGAAUUUGCUUUUGUAACUUCACCUUUGCAGUUUAGUCCAUUCUGCUGUCAAAGCUAUCUUCUUUGUCAUUCUAAGCCAUUUGAGGCCGGAUAAAGCUUACUCAAUUUUUAUAUGCUGUUGGAAUCUAAACAAUUUGGAUUCAGGCAGCCACAUUAUCUAUCAGCAAUAGUGAAGCCAGUUGUAAUAGGAGGUAUUUUUAGAAAGGACAGAAGCAUCAAGGUUUUCUUUUGGCCUAGCAGUAUCAAGGGAUCUAGAAUGUGAAAGAAAGGGAAUCUUUGGAAAGUUUUAAGUGAUGGAUACCCUAUUUGGUUCUUAUGUUGGCAGAAGGCUACCCCUUUCAUGUGAUCUCUUUGGUGUCUACAAAGGUUAUGGGGUCCUUGGAGGCUCACAGAAAUCUUGUGAACUGUUACUUGAGUAUGGAGUUGGAAAUCUUUUCAGCCAUUUUCCUUUAUAAAACUAUGUAACCUUAUUGUCAAUUCAUAUCUAGAUUUUUCUU